AAGAUCAUACUUUUAGGGAUCAUUUCUAAAGGUUGUUCUGCCGAGACGUCAGGUAACUCUGACAGGUCCGCAAACCGCGAGGACGAGACGUAGCCUCCCCUUCUGAGCGCGAAGCGGGUGGAGUGUCAUGGCUGGCUCUAGCUGUAACACUCCACCAUUGAUGACCGUUCCUCUCCUCCCUGUGUGGGGCGAGCUGGAGGAAGGGGCGGCAUUCUGAGCGGU